GGGGGACAAAGUGACAGGUGGUGCAUGGUUGUCGUCAGCUCGUGUCGUGAGAUGUUGGGUUAAGUCCUAUAACGAGCGCAACCCUUGCCAUCAGUUGCUACUUCGUAAGAAGGCACUCUGAUGGGACUGCCUGGGAAACCAGGAGGAAGGUGGGGAUGAUGUCAAGUCCGCAUGGUCCUUAUGCCUAGGGCAACACACGUGUUACAAUGGCCAAUACAAAGGGUUGCGAACCCGCAAGGGGGAGCUAAUCUCAUAAAGUUGGUCUAAGUUCGGAUUGAGGUCUGCAACUCGACCUCAUGAAGUUGAAAUCGCUAGUAAUCGCGUAUCAGAACGACGCGGUGAAUACGUUCUCGGACCUUGUACACACCGCCCGUCACACCACGAAAGCUGUUUGUACCCGAAAUCACUUUAGCUAACUCAUUAGAGAGGCGGGUGCUGAAGGUAUGGAGAGUGAUUGGGGUG
rnacentral:rRNA from 1 species